AUUAAACGCACAAUCUUCUUUUGACACAACUUUAAAGGUCUCGUUAGAGACCAUCAAAAAUUGCCACGGCUGA